rnacentral:rRNA from 1 species
AUUGAACGCUGGCGGCAUGCUUUACACAUGCAAGUCGAACGGUAACAGGCCGCAAGGUGCUGACGAGUGGCGAACGGGUGAGUAAUGCAUCGGAACGUGCCCAGUCGUGGGGGAUAACUACUCGAAAGAGUAGCUAAUACCGCAUACGAUCUAUGGAUGAAGCGGGGGACCGUAAGGCCUCGCGCGAUUUGAGCGGCCGAUGUCAGAUUAGGUAGUUGGUGGGGUAAAGGCUCACCAAGCCAACGAUCUGUAGCUGGUCUGAGAGGACGACCAGCCACACUGGGACUGAGACACGGCCCAGACUCCUACGGGAGGCAGCAGUGGGGAAUUUUGGACAAUGGGCGCAAGCCUGAUCCAGCAAUGCCACGUGCAGGAAGAAGGCCUUCGGGUUGUAAACUGCUUUUGUACGGAACGAAACGGCUCUGGUUAAUACCCGGGGCUAAUGACGGUACCGUAAGAAUAAGCACCGGCUAACUACGUG